ACGCUCGACACCUACGGAGGCAGCAGUGGGGAAUAUUGCACAAUGGGGGAAACCCUGAUGCAGCGACGCCGCGUGAGCGAAGAAGUAUUUCGGUAUGUAAAGCUCUAUCAGCAGGGAAGAAACUGACGGUACCUGACUAAGAAGCACCGGCUAAAUACGUGCUAGCAGCCGCGGUAAUCUGAGCGGGCUGGCAAGGC
rnacentral:rRNA from 1 species